ensembl:lncRNA
CACGCACUGUGGAGUUGGUGGGUGUCAUUCAACCAGCUGAAGGCCUUAAGAAGACUGAGAUUUCCCCAGAGAAGGGCUCAGACCCGAGACGCAGCACCGCCUCUGCCCGUGGCUCCAGCCUGCUGGCCUGCCUGCCUGCUGUGCCGACCUGACCCGGCCAGGCUGCCAGCCCCCGGCGGGAAGCUAGAUCAGAAGGUAUGGGGCCGGCAGAUCCAGACGUGGUGCUGGUUCCUUAAAGCAGUGCCAAGACCACAGCCAACAGCUGUCCUGACACGAGGGCUCCCACAGGUAAGUGUCCUUAGAGAGAAGGCAGAUGGAGAACCUGGCCUCUCCUGGGCACGUGGAGAAAGGAAGCCAGGGAGUCCCCCGACUGGCGUACUACCUGUGGUCGCUGCGUUGUCUUGGAGCUGCAGAGUCCUGAGAAUUUAAGACAACCGGGGAGCCCAGAGUGUCUCUUCAACACCAAGGAAGAGCCAAGAGGCACUGUCUUGUUGGAGACAACAGCUAAAAGCCUGCAGAGCAAGGAUCCGGGGGCAGGGGCAGGGAGCAGCUGCGGCAGGGGACAGACAGACAGGCAGGCAGGCAGACGGCAGUGAUCCGCUUUCUCAACAGUUCCAGCGCAGAGUCCUGUGACCCGCUGUGCAGUGCUGGACCUGACCGAUCGCUCACAGCCCUCCUUCCUUCGGGCACGCCUUUGCACCGAGCUGCCUUCCCAGCCCACCCCUGUCAGCUGCGUAUUCUGAGACGUUGUCUCCCUAAGUCACUGAGUUGCCCAGGCUGGGCGCAAACUUAUGAUCCUCCUGCCUCAGCCUCCCAGAGCACGGUGAAAAUAGGCCUGGCUGGAAAGUAUCCUCUACAUGCAUCAUCUUCACUGUCCUCUCAGCAGCCCUAGAUCAGGACUGCUUCGUCAUCUUGUAUUCCAGAUGGGGAGACGAGGCACAGAGAUGAGUUCCCGAGGCAGGGAGCCAGCCGACUCGAGCCCCACACUGGGGUCACAGAGCAUGCUGGUCGGCGCCAAGCUCCUGUCGGGCCGAGGGGCAGUGUGGAGAGCAGCUCUAGGGUCAGCUCCCCUGGCUCACAGGGCCGGGGCGCCCCGGGGGAUCCUGGCUACUCCUCCCCAGAGGAGAAGGCUGGGCAGGGGGCCUCUGCUCUCUACAGCGAGAUCCGGAGGAGUCCGGACAGAGGGGAGCGUUCUCUCAGUCUGGUGUUGGGCCCCAACUUCAAAGCCCAGGGGUCAUGGAAAGCGCAGGGAAGGCCGUGCUGCUGAGAAGGCCCUGCGGGCUCUGGGGUCAGGGAGAAGGCAGCCAGCCCGUCUGCAGCUCCCUUGCUCUCAGGUGUAAAGUGCACGGAACUCCCUGGCUCUGCACUGGUGGGCUGGAGCGCUCACACACGGCAAAUCCUCAGCCCAGUGCCUGGCACACGGCCUGUUCUCAGGCCCCAUGGGAAUCUCGCUUCUAGGGCUCUGCUAAUAUCAGUCUGGGGAUUCUGCCUCUUAGGCCAAAGUCUCCUCUGAAUUCUUUACUCCCUUGUUUCGGAUGACAAGAUCCAGGACUUCUUUUAGUACCUGUGGUUCUCGAAGUCCCAGGGCCCUUUUCCACAUCUCACUUUGGGCUUGGUGCCGUGGCCAACAUGGCCAGGGCUCUGGUGCUCACCUCUUCCUCUCCAGGGCUGCAGAAAUAGGGCCCCUGCGCCCUUUGGCCUGCAGGGCUCCUGGGCCAGGCUGCCCCUGCUAGAGGUCAGGCCCGCUGGCUUCCCUAGGCUCUGCACCGAUCGCCCAAGUCCACUGCCUCUGGCGGGCCUGCCGGGCGCAGCCCCCAGAACCCAGCCCCUGCUGCCUCCCUGAGAAUCCUGCCAGAGCUCUCUACUGCGACACCAGGACCUGAUGACAGCAGCAAGUUGGGUUCCUUUUUGUAGCAAAUGACAAGAGAUCCAGCUGAAACAAACAUAAACCACUCUGUGAUAGAAAAGUCAGGGCGCAGCAGGAUGUGAAAUCGCCAACCAAAUUAUCAAGUCUGUGCCCGUCUUUGCCCUCUGGUGGCUUCAUUUGGCCAGAGCUCCCCAGUCAGGCGGCAGAGGCAGCUCACCUGUGGCUGCCUGCGGUUCCUCUCGGGCAUUGCUCCUCCCACAUGCUUGCCCUUCGAAGCAAGGUGGUGACUUCGAAGAUUUCUCUACCAGUGGUAGAAUACCUCUGCCUUCUCUCUGAGGUUGGGUGUAGCUAGUGAUGCAUUUCAUUGAAGGAACAUGGUUGUGAACCACAGGACAUCAGUUCUGAGCCUUGGUCUUAAGAUCUCCAUUUGCCCUUCUCCACUGCUGGUGGGAAUGCAGACUGGUGCAACCACCGUGGAAAUCAGUAUGGAGAUACCUCAAAGAACUAGGACUGGAGGUCCCGUUUGACCCAGCUACUCCCCUGCUGGGGAUCUUCCCCAAAGAAUUAAAAGAAUCAUACCACAGUGAUAUAUGUGCACCCAUGUUCACAGUGGCACAGUUUGUGAUAGCUAAAGCUUGGAAGCAACCCAAAUGCCCAUCAACUGGAGACUGGAUCAAGAAAAUGUGUUUUUUUUUUAAUAAAAUGGAGUACUACUCAGACAUAAAGAACAAGAAACUAGAGACAUUUAUGGCCAAAUGGAUGCACACUGAGGCCAUACUCUUAAGUGAAAUAAAUAGGACACACAUGUGUAAAUACCAAAUAGUUUCUCUAGUGUGAGAAACUGACAGUGUAAAUAAGGAUUAAAACAUAUAAUAGAUAAUGUGAAAUAGGAAGAAAAGGUCCAAAGGGGUAGGGGUGGUGGGAGGGGAAGGGGAAAGGGAAGAAGGGAAAGGAAAAAUUAUGAGAAAAGAAAAAAAAUGGAAACAAAGUCUAUGUAAAUAGGGAAGGGUGGAGGGGGUGAAGGGCGAACAGGUAAUGGGGAAGAAAUAAGAACCAAGAUACGUCGUGUACAGGUGCAAGCACCCAAUGAGAAAUGUAAAUGAAUUGUAUACCUAAAGUGUACCAAUAAAAGAAUCUAAGAAAACAAAAGAUCUCCAUUUGCUUUUCCCACGCUUCUGGAAUCACCGUGAGCG